CCCUAUCCAGCUGUGUAUAAGUUGUAGACUCCAAAUGAAUUCUACAACUACUAAUAUGACAAGCAUAAAAGUACAAAUUCACAUAAAAUUUAAAGAGUAAUCUUGUCUCUUGAGAAAGCUUUCGAGUGAUAUAAAGUUACAUGUGCAAUAACUAUUUCUCUUAUUAUUCGACUAUCUAGAAAUAUCCACAAACUGCAGAUUAUUAAUGUGAUUGCAGAAUAUGAUGCUUCUGUUUUUUGUUUGGCAUAUAAAAUGAAAAACAUUAUAAUAUGAAGCUUGACCACGUAUAUAAAUACUUCAAAUGCC
rnacentral:lncRNA from 1 species